UACGGAGGGUGCAAGCGUUAUCCGGAUUUACUGGGUUUAAAGGGUGCGUAGGCGGGCUGUUAAGUCAGUGGUGAAAGAUUCGAGCUCAACUCGGAAACUGCCAUUGAUACUGACAGCCUCGAAUACAGUUGAGGUAGGCGGAAUAUUACAUGUAGCGGUGAAAUGCUUAGAUAUGUAAUAGAACACCGAUUGCGAAGGCAGCUUGCUAAACUGUUAUUGACGCUGAGGCACGAAAGCGUGGGGAUCAAACAGG
rnacentral:rRNA from 1 species